UCCCUGGUGGCUCAGAGGGUAAAGCGUCUGUCUGCAGUGCAGGAGACUUGGGUUCAAUCCCUGGGUGGGGAA
rnacentral:tRNA from 1 species